UCGUGCCUGAAAAAUGGGUUCAGGGCGUGACCCCAGCUGCAGUACGGACGAGGCCCCUAAAGAUUCUGUCCUGGCAAAAUAUCUAUUGUGAUCUUCUCUGCAAUGCUAAGUCCACGUCCUCCCUCACAAGCCCAGUGUCUGGCUGUGUUAUUUCUCAAACUAACCCAGCUGUGAUAGAAUAGGAGCCACAGUCAUCCCAUCAAGCUAUGGAGCAACAAGGGCAGUGCUGUCUGGGCAAGAGCUGGGUUUGGACAGCCAGGUACCUGGGACAUACUGACACGGAGUUGGAGAGACAGACUUGGGCUAAGGAAACAGAAGUAAGGUCCCCAGAACGUCCUAACUGGUGCUUCAAUCAAGUGCAAAUGUUGGUGGCAAUCUAGUAUGCUGUGAACUUCCUUCCAUGUGUCCGAGUUUUCCUGGGGAAAAAGUACAUGGGGUUCUUUGAAAUUAGCUGCGGAGUAGCCGUCUGCAUUUCGGACCGAGUCU